rnacentral:rRNA from 1 species
UGGGGAAUAUUGCACAAUGGGCGCAAGCCUGAUGCAGCCAUGCCGCGUGUAUGAAGAAGGCCUUCGGGUUGUAAAGUACUUUCAGCGGGGAGGAAGGCGAUAAGGUUAAUAACCUUGUCGAUUGACGUUACCCGCAGAAGAAGCACCGGCUAACUCCGUGCCAGCAGCCGCGGUAAUACGGAGGGUGCAAGCGUUAAUCGGAAUUACUGGGCGUAAAGCGCACGCAGGCGGUCUGUCAAGUCGGAUGUGAAAUCCCCGGGCUCAACCUGGGAACUGCAUUCGAAACUGGCAGGGUAGAGUCUUGUAGAGGGGGGUAGAAUUCCAGGUGUAGCGGUGAAAUGCGUAGAGAUCUGGAGGAAUACCGGUGGCGAAGGCGGCCCCCUGGACAAAGACUGACGCUCAGGUGCGAAAGCGUGGGGAGCAAACA